rnacentral:rRNA from 1 species
GACGAACGCUGGCGGCGUGCCUAAUACAUGCAAGUUGAGCGCUGAAGGCUGGUACUUGUACCAACUGGAUGAGCAGCGAACGGGUGAGUAACGCGUGGGGAAUCUGCCUUUGAGCGGGGGACAACAUUUGGAAACGAAUGCUAAUACCGCAUAAAAACUUUAAACACAAGUUUUAAGUUUGAAAGAUGCAAUUGCAUCACUCAAAGAUGAUCCCGCGUUGUAUUAGCUAGUUGGUGAGGUAAAGGCUCACCAAGGCGAUGAUACAUAGCCGACCUGAGAGGGUGAGCGGCCACAUUGGGAGUGAGACACGGCCCAAACUCCUACGGGAGGCAGCAGUAGGGAAUCUUCGGCAAUGGACGAAAGUCUGACCGAGCAACGCCGCGUGAGUGAAGAAGGUUGUCGGAUCGUAAAACUCUGUUGGUAGAGAAGAACGUUGGUGAGAGUGGAAAGCUCAUCAAGUGACGGUAACUACCCAGAAAGGGACGGCUAACUACGUG